GUGAGGAAAAUAUGGAAGGAUUCCCGGAUUUAGUCCCAUCCUUGUCGGCUGGCAAUAAUUCCUCAUUUCUUUGCCUUAUCUCUACCCCUUCCUUGCUUCCUUCCACCUUUAACCUCAUUCUCCUCUCUUUUGAAGCCUCAAGAGUGAAGAACUUUACCGGAGCACUGUAGCGAUGACGAUCAAACCGGGGAGGAACUCUUCAACUCAUCAACAACCUAGAGGACCACCGUGAGGCAUUUAUUUGGAUCUCAAUUGGGAUUAGACUAUUGUCAAAUCAGGAGCAGUAGACCCAAGGAUCUUAGAAGGCUUCCAGUAGAUGUCUUCUUUGGAAUAUUGUCUUAUGACUUAUGUCUUUGUAUCAGUUGUAUUGUUGUUUAAGAAUCUCCUUGUAGGUCAUGCUGUAUUUCAUUUGCCUUGUAUUUGAGUUUGAUUGUUAACCUUA